rnacentral:rRNA from 1 species
GUGUCAGCAGCCGCGGUAAUACGGAAGGGGCUAGCGUUGUUCGGAAUUACUGGGCGUAAAGCGCGCGUAGGCGGCUGGACAAGUGAGGCGUGAAAGUCCUGGGCUCAACCCGGGGACGGCGCUUCAGACUGUUCGGCUGGAGUCCGGAAGAGGGUGGUGGAAUUCCGAGUGUAGAGGUGAAAUUCGUAGAUAUUCGGAGGAACACCGGUGGCGAAGGCGGCCACCUGGUCCGGUACUGACGCUCAAGUGCGAAAGCGUGGGGAGCAAACAGGAUUAGAUACCCUGGUAGUCCACGCUGUAAACGAUGGGUGCUAGAUGUCGGGGGGCUUGCUCUUCGGUGUCGUAGCUAACGCGUUAAGCACCCCGCCUGGGGAGUACGGCCGCAAGGUUAAA